rnacentral:piRNA from 1 species
UCACAGAAUCGCCACCAUACUGUAGUACC